rnacentral:rRNA from 1 species
CUAAAAAAUACCCUAGCAGCAGCCAUCGUAGGCCUCCGCCGCCAGCAACAACGGAGCGCCGGCCGCCGGCUCCCUGCUCUCCGCCUCCCUAGAACGCCGGAUCUUGCCACCAUCCCAAACUCGCCGGCUCUCCCCACCCCCAAGGUCUCAUCUCUCCCAUAGCUCCCCUCCAACCCCUGAGUUCCUCGCGUAGGGCACGGAUUGAAACCGGCGUGCGGAGGCGAGGCAUGCCGCCCCUCCUCUGACCAGCCAACCAUGGUGGCGUGGUUCCUCAUGCCGCCCUCCUCCGACCAGCCAAUCAUAGCGGCGUGGUUCGUCUGACUUGCGCAGGGGCUCUUCUCUCCCAUCGGUCGGCGCCUCGACUUCGAAUCCUACAGUCGGCACCUCGACUUCAGCUUGCACAGACCAGCAUCCUCUGUCGCCAGAUCUUAACCACACCGAGUUCCUCCGGCCGUCGUCGUGAACCUCCAAGCAGAUAAGCCAACCUUCAUGUGUAUUUCCCGUUAUAUCUCCACACUCUAUUCCUCGCUGUUCUUUUUUUCAGGAAGAUGGUGGAUUAUUGGCUGUUUCCAGUAUGUAGAUGGGAUGGCAACGGCUCUUCCUUGGUUGAAGGAUGCAAUGCAUCUCGCUGAAUUCCAAGCUGUAUUAUUUUGGGUCUACCUAGAUACCCAAGCAGGGGAGAUAAAGGCUGCAAGUUGGGUGGAAAGCUAGGGAGACAAUUCUCGGCAUGACCCAGAGGUCGCGUUGGGGAGCAGUACUGAGGAUCCAUCGUUACAGGUUGAGGCAACGUCAAUUUCAGAAGUCGAUUGGGAUAACUUGCAAAUAGUGGAGACACAUGAUGAAGAAGGUAGAAUUGAACUACUGAGUGAGGAUCAGUUAUGUGAAAUUUUGGGCUUGCAGGAUGAAGAAGAGAAAAAAGGUAAGAGUGAACCAAAGGGUCGUAGAAUGGUUGAGCAGGGCAGUGACAAUGAUGGUGCUGCCAUUCCUGUUAGUGAUGUCAUACCAAAUGAGGUAGUGAUUACAUAUGAUAAGGACCACCCAAAAAUGGACCUUGGCACAAUGUACCCAUCAAUGAAGGAAUUUAGGUUAGCAGUGAGGCAAUUUGCCAUCAAUGAGGAGUUUGAUAUAGGCACGGAGAAGUCGGAUAAAAAGAGAUUUAGAGGGUUCUGCAAGUCAAGUGAGGAUUGUCCUUGGAGGAUUGUUGGCAGCCUACAGGAUGAUAAAUGUACUGUAAAG